rnacentral:lncRNA from 1 species
AGAAUGCUAACCCCCUGGCAUGUAUCUAGUCAGCAGAGGCGACGGCUGCUGCUAAACACCUUACAAUCCACGGGAGGGCCCCUCCCCUACCCCGAAGUAGCCAUUCCGCAGAGGUGGAGAGACUCUCGUGUAGCUCAAUGCCCACGCACUUAGCCGAUGGGAAAUUACGAAUUGAUGACCAGUUGGCUCUUGGAUCUGAGGAAAAAACUCCAGAGUCAGAGGGAACUCUCGAAGUUUUGCCCGGAGCAAACGGAAGGGUGGCUUUGCCAUCGCCUAAGAUGGGAAAAUGGCAGGUGUCACAGGUUGCAGGGGAAGGUCGGAGACCAGCUGAGGGCCCCGGAGCCUUCCUGGAAAGAGUUUCCCAUCCAGCCCGUCUCGGUUUCCGCAUCCGUCUUCCUUAUGAUGUUGAGGGUGCUGGCGUCUGGGUCCUUUAUGAUGCAGAGGGUGCCCCCGUCUCACCCUGGGCGCCUCCGCGCUCCCGCCUCCUCCUGGCAACCUGGUGCGCGGCUCCGGACCUGGCGACCCACGACCGGCUGGUCACUUGCUGCCACCUCGCAAAGGCGCAUCUCUAGUUCAGUGGUGAGCUGCGGCCGGGUCGCUGCAACUCGCUCCAGGCCUCCGGACUCGUGGCCUCGGUGUCCCUCGCGGAGCCCUCGGUGUGUCGCUUGCAGGCUCUUUUUUUGAAGAAAGCAGGGAGGGAAUGGCCUUGUGAGAGACUCCAGGAGCAAAGAGCGACCCUCACAAGGCCCAAGUCCUCCCAGAGCUCAGGGAAGCUGUCGCUUCUGACAGAAGAAGGGAGACAAAGCUCCCUCCUGUGUGUCCCUGGUG